UACAGAGGUCUCAAGCGUUGUUCGGAUUCAUUGGGCGUAAAGGGUGCGUAGGCGGCGCGGUAAGUCGGGUGUGAAAACUCUCGGAGCUUAACUCCGAAACUGCAUUCGAUACUGCCGUGCUUGAGGACUGGAGGAGGAGACUGGAAUUUACGGUGUAGCGGUGAAAUGCGUAGAUAUCGUAAGGAAGACCAGUGGCGAAGGCGGGUCUCUGGACAGUUCCUGACGCUGAGGCACGAAGGCCAGGGGAGCAAACGGG
rnacentral:rRNA from 1 species